rnacentral:lncRNA from 1 species
UAAACUGAUCUAAUAGGUGAAAGUUUAAUUCAACAAAUAUGGCAAUCACUAACUGCCCUAUAGUCAAGAGAUUGUAUCACUAAGCUGCCCCUUCUAAGCAAUAAUGGUAGCAAUUGCCUGCAGGGUGAGAAAGGUUAACUUUCCGAUAAGCAGACAUGCUUGAUUAUGAUCAAAACAAUAGCCUUGUUAUAUUACAUGACGAUAUUGGGUGACUGAAACUUAAAGUCCACUAAGAAGUAAACGUCAUAGGUUGCAGAACAGGACCAGGCUUGAAUUUCCAAACGUUUAUCAAAUGAUCGAAAAGUCCACUUUGAGACGCUAUCGUCUGCAGCAAAGCAGUAUAGUCAGAAGCAAAAAAAACGCAACUAAGCAAUCAUGGAGGGAAAAAGACCAGAGUACUACAAAGAACUGCCAAUAUCACUAAUCAAUACUGAAGCCAAACAAGCACCCUCUAGAUUGACUAUAGUCAGAUUAACCAAGCUGAUAAGUAGACUUUCAUCGACUAACAAUAUACGGUAUUUGUUAGAACAAAGAUAAAGAAGUUACCACGCUUGUUAUAGAAGGAUAGAAGUUCUCACAUUACUUGAAAACAAAGAGGCAGAUCUACACUGCUUAUUAUGAUGGUGCAGAAGUGCCACUUAAUCAGAUAAAAAAAUAUGUAUCGGAACUGUUAUAGCUUUAUAAGACGAAAUUGGAUGACACUUCCUUCAGUAUUUACUGUGCCAAAAUAUUUACUCUGACCUCGAAUGGCACUCACGAAGAAAUCUUGAACUAUGAAACCAUGUGAGCACGGUCUAUGUUACCGUAAAGGACAAAGAAUAAAAAAUAUACAAAAAGGAGAUGACAUUUGUACAGUAAGGAAAACUAACCAUGAAUAGAUAAACCUUAAGGCACACAAUGGGAAUAAGACAGGAGUUUGUUCAGUAGAUUUACCAUUGGGCAAAAAUCUCUACUCCUAAUGGAGCAGUUGGUAGUCUCGUUUCCAGGUUUUUUUCGUCCCACCACUUUCGUCCGGUUUUUUUCCGUAGGUUAACCGUCGUAGAUUUUUUUCGAUGAUGGUUUCUUAUUCACCGGUUUAUUUACCCCUCAGCUCUUUCCUUGCAAAUCAGGACUUUCCAAACGUGCACGCAAUCACGGAUCUAAAUUUACUAACUUAUCCAAAUCAACCGAUACCUUCCAUUAUUGCAAAUUUCUUUAGGAAACAAAUAAUAGAUUUUAAGGAAACAAAUAAAAGAUUUUAAAGACACAUCAUACUUUACUAAUAAUCACUAAAAAUCAAAUCUAAAUUAAUUAACCUUACCUUAAAUCACUCAAUCACUUUAAUUAGAAAACAUUUUCUUUCCUAACUGCACCUCGCUUAGUGUGCACAUAACAAUCCGAAGUAAUUAGAGUCACUUGAUUGAAUCCAUUUAUUUAGAGCGACAUGAUUGCGUUCCGGGAUGGAGGCCAUGAUUUCGUCGAGGUCGUUGCUGCCUCCUACACUCAGGGUGUGUCGCCGAGAUCGAGGCGCGCAUGAGGAGCUGUGGCCACCGCCAUGGUCACCUCAUCGCAGGGGAUGGAGCACGCCGUCGGCCUACAGCUUGUGAAGAUCAGCACUUUCCAAACGUGCACGCAAUCACGGAUUUAAAUUUACUAACUUAUCCAAAUCAACCGAUAUCUUCCAUUAUUGCAAAUUUCUUUAGGAAACAAAUAAUAUAUUUUAAGGAAACAAAUAAAAGAUUUUAAAGACGCAUCGUACUUUACUAACAAUCACUAAAAAUCAAAUCUAAAUUAAUUAACCUUACCUUAAAUCACUCAAUCACUUUAAUUAGAGAACAUUUUCUUUCCUAACUGCACCCCGCUUAGUGUGCACAUAACAAUCCGAAGUAAUUAGAGUCACAUGAUCGAAUCCAUUUAUUUAGAGCGACAUGAUUGCGUUCCGGGAUGGAGGCCAUGAUUUCGUCGAGGUCGUUGCUGCCUCCUACACUCAGGGUGUGUCGCCAAGAUCGAGGCGAGCAUGAGGAGUUGUGGCCACCGCCAUGGUCACCCCAUCGCAGGGGAUGGAGCACGCCAUCGGCCUACAGCUUGUGGAGAUCACUGUUGCUCUUCAGGUCGCGUGGUGACCGGAUCUUGCCGAUGUGUCCCUCCCCGACGACCUCCUCUUCGCCCGGUUGGCCGGCAUGGAUCUCGCCACUACUGCCCUCAACUUCUCUGCCUCGAGCUCGACGGUCAGCCACCAUGGAUCCCCCAGCUGGAGGGUCACGUGAACCAGCCGUCCUCCCAUGCUGCAGCGGCGAGAAGGUGACAUGGCUCUCCGUACACGAAGAGUGGAGUGUGGAGUUCGGUCAAGUACUUAUAUACUUGGCCUCUACUGCUGAUCCAUGUACAUGGAGAAGAACAGACAACCGCUCAUUCAUGCUUCGUUCCACUCCUUUGCGCUAUAUUACUGGAGGUGACAUUUUCCUAUUCUCUAUGUUGUAACAAGCCUGUUGCCUGCAUAGUUAAUGGAUUUUUUAUUUAAAUUUAUCGCUGCUUAGUGCUUUGUUGCAAUUGUUCACGCAAGAUUCUUAUAUAUAAUCUGAGCGUAUGUAGGCAUACUUAGCUUUGCUAUUCCAUUUUUUUGGCGCAUAGAAAUAAGAGUAUUGUCCAGGUUAGGUAUUCAAUUGAGUAUGGUAUUUGGAUUGCUAUCAGAAUGUCUUUUCUAUGCAUGUGAUUUCUCACAUCUGGUUAUAAUAUUUGUGAAGACAUGCAUUGCACGUGCACUUGGAAGCGGGCCCGUGGCCCGCGCUGGACGGCGCCGACGCCGACCUGAGCCACCUCGUCCGCGUAUUCUUGGAGCUGUGGCUGGUCGAUUUACAUGAAAUUAAUUCCCUCAGUUCUGGUGGCAAAUAUAAUACACAUAAUCCAUAUUGUUAUGCACUAGCGUGUAUGUGUGAAAUAGAUGGAUUAUGGUCCCGUACCCAAUAAGAUGGAUAUGUGUGUGUGUUAGAGAGAGAGGGAGAGGGGGAUAGAGAGUGAGGAAGACGGAGGGAGAGUGUGUGUCUCUGUGUGUGUGAGGAUUUGAUGGUAAAAAAGGUCGCCAAUGUCGUAAUAUUGAACUCUUAAAGUUAAUGUGGCCCCGUUGCAACGCACGGGCGUUCUUCUAAUAUUGUUAGGGUGCUAAUGCUAUAUGUGUGCCCGAUUGCAAGGGAAUAUGGAGAAAGUGCGUGCUUAAUUAGCGAUGUGUGUUACGACCUCGAUAGGAACAGAUGAUGACUGUUGACUGGCCGGUCUGCCUUUAAAGCAUACGAUUCUAGUGUUAUUAGUAGGCUUAAGACACACGCAUGAGGCAUAACAGAGAAUGAAUGCCAGAACAUGGCAUCAUAAAAAAUGCACAGAAUAGGCCGAACUCUGACUCGGGUAACAAAGAACAUGGGAUAUAUUAUUCUCUCUCUUUAUGCCAGAUUGGUAUUCCAGCAUCCAGUACUGCUGCUAGCUUUGGAAAAGUGAACUCAAGAAAACUUUCUGAGUACAAAGCAGAAGAUCUUGCAGCAGCUCCAGUCAACUAUUUCACGUACAAUACUGGAUAGGUACUUUCUCCAGACAUUCGAACUACCAUGCGCCACUAUGAAGUACUCUCUAGUGUGCAUAUAUUUCUUCUCAAGAUAGCCUACUUUGUGGCUAAUUUAUUAGGCCUAAAUAGUGCAGACUGGCCGUAUAUCGGCAAGGUGAUGAUGGUAGCAGUUGUGGUUGCAGACACACAUGAAAGAUAUGUCUUUUUCAAAACGACAGAACCGAAUUUAGAUGUGCAUGAGAUCAGGCAUACCUCACAUGGAGCAUGGGUGGUCCAUUGAUGUUGGUAGAACAGCGAGAUUGUACGACAGCUUAUGGAGUACGGGCAGCCUGCAGAGUUGGUAG